AAGCGGUGAAACGGCGAAACGGUAAAACGGCAGCCAGGCGUCCGCCACAGCGCCCGACUUCGGAGUAAACGGGUACGACGAACGCGGAACGUCGCGGAUUUUCCACCCAAAAAAAAAAGGAAUCAUAAAACUCCAUCGAGCAGUGUAUUUGUGUAUCUGUGUGUGUGUGAGUGUGAGUGCACGAGUGUGUGCACGGGGAUUCCCUUGUUGCAUUUGCAACAAUCAAAAGAUUAAGAGAAAGCAACGCCCCAAAAAAGAAAGGAACCAAACAGCGGCCCAAAAAAACCCGAGAAGGAACCUCUAAUACCCUCUAAUAGAAGAUACCCCCACAAAUGAUAUACCCUCUAAAAAAGAGAUAGUAAAUGCUCUAAAAAAAAGAUACAAAGCCCUCAGCAAAAUAAUUCGCUAACCGGAAAGUCGCGCCAAAGCAGCCAACAAAUUUCAAGUGUUUUCUCCCAUUUUCCGGACUGGGGAGAGUGUGUGUGCCAGUGUGUGUGCGUGUGUGUGUGGGGCAUAGGCGCCAACUUGCCCAACAAAAAAAAAAAAAUAGUCAGAGGCCGCCAAAUGGCAGCGGCACCAGCGGAUGCCUAAAACGAGGCUUUUAUCUCAAGAGAAAGAAAAAAAAAAGUGAAAGAAAGAUUAAAGAAAAUUAAAUUUUCGGCAGAAAGCUUUUCCUUUGCAAAUGGUGUUGAAAAGCGUGAAGUGAAGUGUGACAAGAGGAGGGCAAGAAAAUCGUGGGAAAACCAAGGAAAAUCAUUGGCUCAAAUCAAAGUCAAGAAAAGGCCUGGAACGGACUAUUAAACGCAACUGCAGACGCCGCCGCGAUGGCACAACAAAAGCAACAGCUACUCGAGCAGGGGCAGGAGCAGCCAGCGGCGCUGAGGGUGUUGAGCACGUGAAUGUCUCUGUAAAAUGUCCGCUUGCAUGACAAUCGUAGCGUGCCGGCAUUCAGAAAACGCAGCAGAAGAAACAGCAGCAGACGACGCAGCCGAGCGAGGCGUACGUGAAGUGUUUCCCAAGCAGCAGCAGCAGCAGCAUCCGCAGUAGGGGCAAGGACACAUGCCUCAUCAUCCCAGUGCAGGCAAGGCUUAGCACCUGCACCCCAGAGGCGCAGACAGCAGCAACGGCACGGCACAACGCAUGGAAUAAUUCAACAACAGCCAGG